CAUAAACCAACUUGGCUAACUCGGAUUAAGCCCAUGGGAUGUGGCUGAAACCUCCGGUAAAACAUCUAUUAAACUGACUGAUUGUUUGUGUCUUGGCAUUUCCUUGACUCUGACACAGAGGUCAAGACAAACUUCUGAUUCCCUGCGGCUGCUUCACUGUACCCAAGAUGGACAAACACAGCUGCAAAGCUAACCAGCUCCUGACCAUACAUGGCUGCAGUGAGAGGGACAGCUUCUGAUACUGUAAGCCUCGCCCAGCGGCUCUGGAUUUACCACAUACUGAUGGGAUUGCUCACUCCACCUCCAGACCUGCUGGCUUCUUUGGCCCUGAAAUCUCUCUUCCACCUUCUCUGUGCACUGAGCCUCCAUCCUCUGCCUGUGUGUCUCCUCCUGUGUGAGCAGUUGUCACUCCUGUCUGACUCACCUUCAUAUGUUCACUCUUCAUAGCAGUCCCUUCUAGCUCGCCCCUUUUACUCACUUUGGGGCCUGUGCACCAUUUUAGAAACAGCCCAAACACCACCACCAUUACCUUUUACAAUUCCAGCUACUCAGAGAGGGAGGGCUGUGCUCUGAACACACUGAGCACUCAGCCAGCAUUUUCAUUUUCUUCUGAAGCCGGAAAAACAAAGGAAACCAUAUUAUAUUGGUUCUGUCAGAUUAUCUUUGUUAUGAAGAUGCUACAAAAUAACAGGAACACCUUACAA